CGCGGGUUCUCUCGGGUUUCUUUCCGACAGUGGCGGAGGCGGUAGUCAAGCGUGGAGGUUGGUGAACUCGUAGGCGAUUCAUCGCGGUGAGAAAACGAGGACGAUUCGUCGCGGUGAGAAGACGAAGGCGGUUCAUCGCGGAGGGAAGACGCAGGCGAUUUGGUUCUCCGGUCUCCUUCUCCGGUUACCUUCUCCGUCAACGGUAACAGCGGCAACGGCG